UACGUAGGGUCCGAGCGUUGUCCGGAAUUACUGGGCGUAAAGAGCUCGUAGGUGGUUUGUCGCGUUGUCCGUGAAAACUCACAGCUCAACUGUGGGCGUGCGGGCGAUACGGGCAGACUGGAGUACUGCAGGGGAGACUGGAAUUCCUGGUGUAGCGGUGGAAUGCGCAGAUAUCAGGAGGAACACCGGUGGCGAAGGCGGGUCUCUGGGCCAUUACUGACGCUGAGGAGCGAAAGCGUGGGGAGCGAACAGG
rnacentral:rRNA from 1 species